UAGGGAAUCUUCGGCAAUGGGGGGAACCCUGACCGAGCAACGCCGCGUGAGUGAAGAAGGUUUUCGGAUCGUAAAGCUCUGUUGUUAAGGAAGAACGAGUGUGAGAAUGGAAAGUUCAUGCUGUGACGGUACUUAACCAGAAAGGGACGGCUAACUACGUGACAGCAGCCGCGGUAAUACGUAGGUCCCGAGCGUUGUCCGGAUUUAUUGGGCGUAAAGCGAGCGCAGGCGGUUAGAAAAGUCUGAAGUGAAAGGCAGUGGCUCAACCAUUGUAGGCUUUGGAAACUAUUUAACUUGAGUGCAGAAGGGGAGAGGGGAAUUCCAUGUGUAGCGGUGAAAUGCGUAGAUAUAUGGAGGAACACCGGUGGCGAAAGCGGCUCUCUGGUCUGUAACAGACGCUGAGGCUCGAAAGCGUGGGGAGCGAACAGG
rnacentral:rRNA from 1 species